GAUCUACUUUCGCGAGAAGCUACGCACAAAUUCUCCCACAUUAACUUAGUUCAUUCUCAGGAAAGCAUGCAACUGCCAACUCAAUUUCCUUAUUUCUCAUUAUCCCUAGAAUACCGUUUAUAGUCAAUAUUUUCCCGACAACCAAACAGACCAACUGAUCAUCAAUCAAAGGUACCAAUCAGCAAGCAAAACCAGUUCCUUCAACACUCGAAUUCCUCAAGUUCCCAUGUUCCGAAGUCCAUAACCCUAGGCGUAUCGUCUUCUGCUAAUGGACAAAGAAACUGAAAUCCUCUCGCGCCUUGCCGCUAACCACAUCUAUCUCGCCCAAUUCGAGCCUCUCAGGGCGGUAAUCCUCGCGCUCAGAGACCGAAAUCCCGAGCUUGCUCUCGCCCUGCUCCAGACGAUAGUUGCUCACUCUGGUCGUUUUGAAAACAUUCUAUGGUCUUCGUCUUGUCCGUCUCCGUCUCUACUUACGUUCUUGGCCACUCUCGAGCUCUUACUGUUCGGUAAUGCAUCAUCUGCUUGGAGCUUCGAUCCUGAGGCGUUGCGUUUGCGAGCCGAGUUUUUGUUGUUGGUUCAGCACUUGAUCGAUCGGGUCUCGGAAUUUAUGCGGAUGAAUUUUGAUUUGGAGAGCAUUGGUAAGGAGAGAGAGAAUGGAGGUUUAGGUGAGAGUGAGAGUGAGAGUUUUGAAGAGCGAGCUGAGUUACUUAAUAAGAGCGAGGAUAAAACUGACGAUUUGAGAGCUUCCAGCGGUGAAUGGGAAAGUUCCGUAGGUGUUUUGGAUAGAAUUUUGGAGUUGGGAGUGAAGAGGUUGAAGGUGGAUGCAGUUGUGGAUGAUGAUGCUGAUGCUGAUGCUGAUCAUGAUAAUCGGAUUCAAAGUCAGGCCACUGCUAUUGAGGAAGGAGAUUUGGUGUGUUUGAGGAAGGUGAUUUGGGAGUAUGCAGAUAUUUUUGAUGCCCUGUGCUUGAAUAUACAGAGGCAAAUAAUAGGCUGGGAAGGUUAUGAGCCUUCUGGUUUAGCGAUUACAGCGCGGAGUGAAGAGAAUGCGAUUAAGUCUGAGAAGGAUGAGGACGUGGAGGUUCUUGGUUUGAUACAAAGGAGUGUUCAAUUAGCUCACUUAGAUGCUAUUAAAGAGUGUGCGAAGGAGGGAAAUGUGAACGAGGCUGUUUCGCACAUUCGUUUUCUUCAUUUUAAUUAUGGAGUGGAGGAGUCCGAGUAUCGCAUUGUAUUACAGGAUCUACUGAAGGUGGUUUCUCUAGGGUGGGAGGGAUAUGGAGACUCUUGGCAUGCCAAGAGAGAAAAAUUGUUGAUGAUUUAUGGUGCAGCUCUUGCAUCAAAUUGUAGAUUUCUCAUUCAAAUGUUACAGGUGCUUCACGAUGACUUGCUUUUAAAAGAGAUUGAGUUGUAUCGAUCUCUUGAUAAUAACCAAAUCCCACCCCCUUUGGAGUGUUUCCAAAGAUAUGAUAAAGAAUUAUACCUUGAUUCUGAUUUCCGUAAUAAAACAAUGUCCCUAAACACUGCGGUCAGUUCUUGCCUGAGAGACAUGUACCAAUAUGCUCGAGUCUCUGGACAGCAUGUUCUUGAAUGUGUCAUGGAUACUGCCUUGUCUGCUGUGAAGAGCAAUCAACUUCAAGAAACUAGCAAUAUCUUUUCACUGUUUCCGCGUCUCGAGCCCCUGGUAGCUUCCAUGGGUUGGGAUAUAUUAUCUGGCAAGACAACAGAACGGAGAGAAUUAAUGCAACUUUUUUGGACUAGUAAGUCUCAAGUACUCCAGCUGGAAGAGUCUUCUCUUUAUGGAAACCAAUCAGAUGAGAUAUCUUGCGUGGAACAUCUAUGUGAUUCUUUGUGUUAUCAGCUUGACAUUGCCUCAUUUGUUGCACGUGUCAAUUCUGGUCGAGCAUGGAAUUCAAAAUUUUCAUUAAUGUUAUCUGGAAAGGAACAAAUAUCCUUUGGAAGUGAUGAUGCUCAAUUGGACCCAUUUGUUCAAAAUUUUGUGUUGGAAAGACUUUCAGUUCAAAGUCCUCUUCGGGUAUUGUUUGAUGUUGUGCCACACAUAGAAUUUCAAGAUGCCAUUAAGUUGAUCAGCAUGCAGCCGAUUGCCUCUAGCUUGGCAGCCUGGCAGAGGCUGCAGGAUAUUGAACUUAUGCACAUGCGUUAUGCACUAGAGUCAGCAGUUCUUGCACUUCGAGCAAUGCAAAAGAGCAUGGCCGGUGAAAGAGAAAGUCAUCAUCAAGAGCCCUUCUGUCAUUUGAAAGAUUUACAAAGCCACCUGGAUGCUAUUACUAAUAUUCCACGCAAGAUAAUGAUGGUGAAUGUUAUAAUUUCACUAUUACAUAUGGAUUAUCUCUCCCUUAAUUUGGCGCAUUGCAUGUCAUCUCAGAGCUGUACUGAGUCACCUGUUACUUGUGCAUGGGAACAUAAUGAUCUCAGUACAUCUGAAGGAGCAAACAAAAUGGUUCUAUCUUUCACAGGAUUGCUACUUGAUAUACUACGUCGCAAUGUUCCUUCAGCUGUAACUGAGCUGCAGAAUGCUCAAACUGAUGGUUUAACUACAAGUGGAAGACAUGCCUUAGAGUGGAGAGUGUCAAUAGCUAAUCGUUUCAUUGAAGAAUGGGAAUGGCGGUUGUCAAUUUUACAGCGUCUUCUUCCUUUAGCUGAACGCCAGUGGAGGUGGGAGGAGGCAUUGACUGUGCUACGUGCAGCCCCAUCUAAGCUACUUAACCUCUGCUUGCAAAGAUCAAAGUAUGACAUUGGAGAAGAAGCUGUUCAUCGAUUUUCAUUGUCUGCAGAAGACAAAGCGACCCUAGAACUAGCUGAGUGGGUGGAUAGUGCAGUCAGAAGAGCAUCUGUAGAAGAAGUGGUGUCUCGUGCUGCUGAUGGGACUUCUAUGGUGCAAGAUCUAGAUUUUUCAUCUUUACGGACCCAAUUAGGUCCUUUGGCUGCUAUUCUUCUUUGUAUCGAUAUUGCUGCUACUUCUGCACGGUCAGCAAAGAUCUCUCAGCAGCUUCUGAAUCAGGCUCAAGUUAUGUUAUCUGAGAUUUAUCCGGGUGUCUCUCCCAAAAAAGGCUCCACAUACUGGGAUCAAAUUCUUGAAGUAGGUGUUAUAACGGUUUCACGAAGGGUCCUUAAGCGUCUAAACGAGCUCUUAGAUAAGGACAACCCUCCAGCUGUUCAGGCUAUUUUGUCUGGAGAGCUAAUCAUUUCUUCGCAAAAAGAAUCUCUCCGACAGGGACAAAGGGAACGUGCUCUUGCUAUGCUACAUCAGAUGAUUGAAGAUGCUCACCAGGGAAAACGACAGUUUUUGAGUGGUAAGCUCCAUAAUCUAGCUAGAGCUAUAGCAGAUGAAGAAACAGAACCAAAUUUUCUUAAAGGUGAAGGCCAAUCUGCUGAUCAGAAGGCUUUUUCUGAUUUUGACAAGGAAGGGGUUCUUGGUCUAGGGCUAAGAGUUAUAAAAAAGAAAGCUUUACCUUCAGCCACUGGAGAUUUUAAUGAGCAGCCUGUGGAUUAUGAUGUAAAGGAGACUGGGAAGAGAUUAUUUGGUCCCAUAAGUAACAAGCCUACAACCUAUCUUUCACAGUUCAUUCUCCAUAUUGCUGCGAUUGGUGACAUAGUAGAUGGGACUGAUACAACUCACGACUUCAACUUUUUCUCACUUGUGUAUGAGUGGCCCAAGGAUCUUUUAACUCGCCUUGUCUUUGACCGUGGUAGUACUGAUGCUGCUAGCAAGGUGGCUGAGAUUAUGUGUGCAGACUUUGUUCAUGAAGUUAUUUCAGCGUGUGUGCCGUCAGUGUAUCCUCCACGCUCUGGUCAAGGAUGGGCUUGCAUUCCAGUUGUACCCCCUUGCAUUAAGAAUGGAUCAGAGAAUAAACUACCAUCACCUUCUUCAAAAGGUGCACCGCCUAAUUGUAAUGACUGGUCAUCAAUAAUGCCUGGCAUCCCUCUCUACCCUUUACAGCUGGAUAUCGUAAAACACUUGGUUAAAAUAUCGCCAGUUAGGGCAGUAUUAGCAGGUGUUUUUGGGAGUAGCAUUUUAUACAGUGGGAGUGCCUCUUCUACGUCAAGCUCUUUGCAUGGUGAAUUGCUUGAGGCACCUGAUACAAAUCGUUUGUUUUACGAGUUUGCUCUUGAUCAAUCAGAGAGGUUCCCAACUUUAAACCGAUGGAUACAAAUGCAAACUAAUCUUCAUCGAGUUUCAGAGUUUGCAGUAACAACCAAGCAAACUGCUGAUGGCAGCAGAGUUAAAGAUGAAGUAAGAGCAGCUAUAAAGAGACUUCACGAGCAUGAUAGUGAUACAGAGUCUGAGGUAGAUGAAAAUGUUGGUGGCACUAAUAUGUCCACAAAUUUAUCAGCGGUCAGCAGCCAAAGUGGUGCAGCUCCUGAUACAUCUUGGCAAGAUGCCAUGAAAGCUGAUGUUGCCGAACAUGAUAACUCAGUUUUCCUUUCUUUUAAUUGGGAGAAUGAAGAACCCUAUCAGAAAGCAAUAGAACGAUUGAUUGAUGAAGGAAAACUAAUGGAUGCUCUUGCACUUUCUGAUCGCUUUCUACGUAAGGGAGCCUCAGAUCAAUUGCUGCAGCUACUUAUUGAACGUGGGGAAAAGAACCAGUCAAUAUCUGGACAAUCCCAAAGUUAUGGAGGCCAUGGCAUUUGGAGCAAUAGUUGGCAGUAUUGCCUGCGGUUGAAGGACAAGCAGCUGGCUGCUAGACUUGCCCUCAAGUAUAUGAAUAGAUGGGAACUUGAUGCUGCCUUGGAUGUUCUUACCAUGUGCAGCUGCCACCUGCCUAAAAGCGAUCCAAUUACCAAUGAGGUCAUGCACAUGAAACAAGCUUUGCAGAGAUACAGUCACAUAUUAAGUGCAGACAAUCACUAUAGUAGCUGGCAAGAGGUGGAAGCUGAGUGUAAGGAAGACCCUGAGGGCUUGGCACUUAGAUUAGCAGAGAAAGGAGCUGUUUCAGCUGCCUUAGAUGUGGCUGAAAGUGCAGGAUUAUCAAUAGAUUUACGGAGAGAAUUACAGGGGCGGCAGCUUGUUAAACUUCUCACUGCAGAUCCUCUUAAUGGUGGAGGUCCAGCAGAAGCUUCUCGCUUUCUUUCUUCAUUACGUGACUCAGAUGAUGCCUUGCCGGUUGCCAUGGGUGCAAUGCAGCUGUUACCUAAUUUGCGGUCAAAGCAACUUCUUGUUCACUUCUUUCUGAAGCGAAGAGAAGGAAAUCUCUCUAAUACUGAGGUUUCCCGGUUGAACUCAUGGGCAUUGGGUCUUCGUGUUUUGGCUGCGUUGCCAUUGCCUUGGCAGCAGAGAUGUUCUUCCUUGCAUGAACACCCUCAUUUGCUAUUGGAGGUUUUGCUUAUGAGGAAGCAACUGCGAUCGGCUGCGCUGAUUCUUAAAGAAUUUCCAUCAUUGCGAGACAAUAGUGUAAUUAUUUCAUAUGCAGCUAAAGCAAUUGUAUUCAAUUUUAGCUCCCCUGCAAGAGAACCUCGAGUUUCUAUUUCAGGAAUGAGACCAAAGCAGAAAACUAGAAUAGGCACUCCUGUGAGAUCAUCCUUCUCUAAUAGCUUAAGUAACUUGCAAAAGGAGGCUCGUAGAGCAUUCUCUUGGGGUCCACGGAAUACAGGAGACAAGCCUACCCCAAAAGAUGUCUAUCGGAAAAGAAAAAGUUCUGGAUUGUCCCCAUCUGAAAGAGUUGCUUGGGAAGCAAUGGCUGGCAUUCAAGAGGAUCAUGUUUCAACUUAUUCUGUUGAUGGACAGGAGCGGCUUCCUUCUGUGUUGAUUGCUGAGGAAUGGAUGCUAACUGGUGAUACCAUCAAGGAUGAUGCAGUUCGUCUAUCUCACCGAUAUGAAAGUGCCCCUGACAUUACUCUCUUCAAGGCCCUUCUUUCUUUGUGUUCUGAUGAGAGUGUGUCUGCCAAGAAUGCAAUGGACUUGUGUGUCAAUCAGAUGAAAAAUGUGUUAAGCUCCCGACAAUUGCCCGAGAAUGCAUCAAUGGAAGUUAUUGGUCGCGCUUACUAUGCCACUGAGAUAUUUGUACAGGGUCUACAAUAUGCUAAAUCCUUGCUGAGAAAGACAGUGGGAGUUAGUGAUUUGUCAAGUAAUUCUGAAAGAAGCAGGGAUACUGAUGAUGCAUCUUCAGAUGCUGGUAGUUCUACCAUGGGCAGUCAGUCAACAGAUGAGCUAUCAGAACUUUUAUCACAGGCAGACAUUUGGCUAGGAUGUUCUGAGCUACUUCAAAGCCUUCUAGGCUCUGGAAUUGCUGUGUCUUUAGAUGAUAUUGCUGAUAAAGAGUCGUCUGCUCGUCUCUGUGACAGGUUGAUUGUGGAUGAACGGUACAGUAUGGCUGUGUAUACUUGCAAAAAGUGCAAGAUUGAUAUAUUCCCUGUAUGGAAUGCAUGGGGUCUUGCUUUGAUUCGUAUGGAGCACUAUGCACAAGCUCGUGUGAAGUUCAAGCAAGCUUUCCAAUUGUAUAAGGGGGAUCCUGAACCUGUUAUUACUGAGAUCGUGAAUACAAUUGAAGGAGGUCCACCGGUGGAUGUUUUAGCCGUUCGUUCUAUGUAUGAGCAUUUGGCUAAGAGUGCUCCAACAAUCUUAGAUGAUUCUCUUUCGGCCGAUUCAUAUCUCAAUGUGUUGUACAUGCCAUCCACUUUUCCACGUUCUGAAAAAUCAAGGCCGUUUCCAGAAUAUGCAAAUGAUAAUUCUACAUAUGGUUCAGAGUUUGAAGAUGGACCUCGCAGCAACUUGGACUACAAUCGGUAUAACGAGUGUGUGAACUAUUUGCAAGAAUAUGCACGGCAGAAAUUGCUUGAAUUUAUGUUUAGGCAUGGCCAAUUCAAUGAUGCCUGCAUGUUGUUUUUCCCCCCAAAUGCUGUCCCUCUUCCUCCUCAACCGUCAAUGGUGGGGGUAGCAACAUCUUCUUCAUCCCCUCAAAGACAAGAUAAUUUGGCAACUGAUUAUGGGACCAUUGAUGAGUUGUGUGAUCAGUGUGUUAGUUAUGGCGCAAUGCCUGUUUUGGAGGAGGUGAUAUCAGCAAGGAUGUCAGCUACAGAGCCACAAGACGAAGCAGUGAACCAGUAUACAGCUGCAACGCUUGCCCGAAUUUGUCUCUACUGUGAGACACAUAAGCAUUUCAAUUUUCUAUACCAAUUUCAGGUUAUCAAGAAAGACCAUGUUGCCGCUGGACUUUGUUGCAUUCAGUUGUUCAUAAAUUCUGCUUUGCUAGAGGAGGCUAUUAAACAUUUGGAACAUGCUAAGAUGCAUUUUGAUGAAGGGUUGUCAGCUCGAUAUAAAGGUGAUUCUACUAAGCUUGUGACAAAGGGUGUCAGAGGAAAAAGUGCAUCUGAGAAGCUCACUGAAGAAGGACUCGUGAAGUUUUCUGCCCGGGUUUCAAUUCAGGUCGAAGUAGUGAAGUCCUACAAUGAUGCUGAUGGACCGCAGUGGCUAUACUCACUCUUUGGUAACCCAAAUGAUCCAGAGACAUUCAGGAGGAGAUGCAAAAUUGCAGAGACUCUUGUGGAAAAGAAUUUUGACUUGGCUUUCCAAGUGAUUUAUGAAUUCAACCUUCCUGCGGUGGAUAUAUAUGCUGGUGUGGCAGCAUCACUUGCUGAGAGAAAAAAAGGAAGCCAAUUAACAGAAUUCUUUAGAAACAUCAAAGGGACUAUUGAUGAUGAUGAUUGGGAUCAGGUACUGGGAGCUGCUAUUAAUGUAUAUGCUAACAAGCACAAAGAACGCCCUGAUCGUCUCAUUGACAUGUUGACUAGUAGCCAUAGGAAAGUUCUUGCUUGUGUGGUUUGUGGUCGUCUAAAAAGUGCAUUCCAGAUUGCUUCUCGCAGUGGAAGUGUAGCUGAUGUUCAAUAUGUAGCUCAUCAGAGAAGGAACCUUUUAUACAAGUAUAGGCUGUAUUAUGCUGCAGCUGUUGAGUUGCAGGGCCAGAGCCAAUGAACUUCUUGGGCACAAGGCUGAUCACUCCAACUUUUAAGAUAAUUUGGCCUUACCAAGAUGUCAGAUAAUGUAUUAUAUGCUAAUAUUAAAAAGAUUGGGAGGGAUGGGAUGGGUUGGUGAGUCAAGACUUGUGUGAGUAGCUGUUUUCCCCGUCAGAUUCAGGGGAGGCAUUACAUGCAAAUGCGCUUCCUGUACUUGAUAUGUGUAAACAGUGGCUGGCCCAAUACAUGUGAUAUUGGUUAAAUCAACUAUAGAUUCUGCAAGCUUAUGACAUCUGGAAUUGCUGAGACUGCUCUUAAGCAGUGUUACCUCUUUUUGUAGCUGCUGCCAAGUUUAAAGGAUUGGAAGAUGGUUGAUGAUCCAUGUCAGAGCUAUUCAAGUUAAGAGUCUGAAUUUAGGACUAAGGCGGGCCAAACCCUAUUCCUCAAUUUUAUAAAAAUUAUUAUAUAUAUAUAUAUUACUAAAAUUUAUAAAUCUUUAAAAAGUUAUGGACCCUUAAAUUUAAUUUUAUUGGGUCCUAAAAUAUAUCAGGGCCGACCCUGCUUAGGAGUUCUGUGAUGGCCAGGGAAUUUGAAAGGUAAAUUAUUUCUCAUUAUUUAAAACUUUGUCGUGAUGAGAAAAAGUGGACCGAGUGUGUAACAAUAAAAGUGAGUGAUCAUUCUGUAGUUGGGAGUUGGAUCAAGUGCUUGCGACUGUAGAUAGAUGUUAAUAAAGCGUGAGAUGUGUAUGUAUUUACAUGAACGGGAGCUCCUUUUUUUUAUUAUUAUUAUUUUGGGCCUUAUAUGUAUUUUCUUUUGCCUAAACAUGCAUUGUAAAUUAUGUAUUAAUAGAAAAUUUGCUAAAAGAUUUGAGCAUUAUAUUGCUCCUUUCAUGACC